UACAGAGGGGGCAAGCGUUGUUCGGAAUUACUGGGCGUAAAGCGUGCGCAGGCGGUUAUGCAAGACAGAUGUGAAAUCCCCGGGCUCAACCUGGGAACUGCAUUUGUGACUGCAUGGCUUGAGUGCGGCAGAGGGAGAUGGAAUUCCGCGUGUAGCAGUGAAAUGCGUAGAUAUGCGGAGGAACACCGAUGGCGAAGGCAAUCUCCUGGGCCUGCACUGACGCUCAUGCACGAAAGCGUGGGGAGCAAACAGG
rnacentral:rRNA from 1 species